rnacentral:rRNA from 1 species
UACGAGGGGGGCAAGCGUUGUUCGGAAUUAUUGGGCGUAAAGGGCUCGUAGGCGGCCCAACUAAGUCAUACGUGAAAUCCCUCGGCUUAACCGGGGAACUGCAUCUGAUACUGGAUGGCUUGAGUUCGGGAGAGGGAGUGCGGAAUUCCAGGUGUAGCGGUGAAAUGCGUUGAUAUCAGGAGGAACACCCGGCGGCGAAGGCGAGGCUCUGGGCUGGUUACUGACGCUGAGACGCGAAAGCUAGGGGAGCAAACGGG